AACGAACGCUGGCGGCAGGCUUAACACAUGCAAGUCGAGCGCACCUUUCGGGGUGAGCGGCGGACGGGUGAGUAACGCGUAGGGAACGUACCCUCUUGCUCGGGAUAACCACUGGAAACGGUGGCUAAAACCGAAUGAGCCCUACGGGGGAAGGAGAGGAUCGGCCCGCGUCGGAUUAGGUAGUUGGUGGGGUAACGGCCUACCAAGCCUACGAUCCGUACCUGGUUUGAGAGGAUGACCAGGCACACUGGGACUGAGACACGGCCCAGACUCCUACGGGAGGCAGCAGUGGGGAAUCAUAGACAAUGGGGGAAACCCUGAUCUUGCCAUGCCGCGUGGACGAUGAA
rnacentral:rRNA from 1 species